rnacentral:tRNA from 1 species
AGAUAGCGAAGAGGCUAAACGCGGCGGACUGUAAAUCCGCUCCUUCGGGUUCGGGGGGUCGAAUCCCUCUCUCUCCA